CCCCAGACUCCUACGGGAGGCAGCAGUGGGGGAUAUUGCACAAUGGGGGGAACCCUGAUGCAGCGACGCCGCGUGGGUGAAGGAGUGCUUCGGCAUGUAAAGCCCUAUCGGCAGGGAAGAAGCAAGACGGUACCUGACUAAGAAGCCCCGGCUAACUACGUGCCAGCAGCCGCGGUAAUACGUAGGGGGCAAGCGUUAUCCGGAUUUACUGGGUGUAAAGGGGGCGCAGACGGCGAUGCAAGCCAGGAGUGAAAGCCCGGGGCCCAACCCCGGGACUGCUCUUGGAACUGCGUGGCUGGAGUGCAGGAGGGGCAGGCGGAAUUCCUGGUGUAGCGGUGAAAUGCGUAGAUAUUAGGAGGAACACCAGUGGCGAAGGCGGCCUGCUGGACGACAACUGACGGUGAGACGCGAAAGCGUGGGGAGCAAACAGGAUUAGAUACCCUGGUAAA
rnacentral:rRNA from 1 species